GACGAACGCUGGCGGCGUGCUUAACACAUGCAAGUCGAACGGAAAGGCCCUGCUUGCAGGGUACUCGAGUGGCGAACGGGUGAGUAACACGUGGGUGAUCUGCCCUGCACUUCGGGAUAAGCUUGGGAAACUGGGUCUAAUACCGGAUAGGAGCCAUCUUUAGUGUGGUGGUUGGAAAGUUUUUUCGGUGUAGGAUGAGCUCGCGGCCUAUCAGCUUGUUGGUGGGGUAAUGGCCUACCAAGGCGGCGACGGGUAGCCGGCCUGAGAGGGUGUACGGCCACAUUUGGACUGAGAUACGGCCCAGACUCCUACGGGAGGCAGCAGUGGGGAAUAUUGCACAAUGGGCGCAAGCCUGAUGCAGCGACGCCGCGUGGGGGAUGAAGGCCUUCGGGUUGUAAACUCCUUUCGCUAGGGACGAAGCUUUUUGUGACGGUACCUAGAUAAGAAGCACCGGCUAACUACGUG
rnacentral:rRNA from 1 species